rnacentral:rRNA from 1 species
AUUGAACGCUGGCGGCAUGCCUUACACAUGCAAGUCGAACGGCAGCACGGGGGCAACCCUGGUGGCGAGUGGCGGACGGGUGAGUAAUGCAUCGGAACGUGCCCCUGAAGUGGGGGAUAACGCAGCGAAAGCUACGCUAAUACCGCAUAUUCUGUGAGCAGGAAAGCAGGGGAUCGCAAGACCUUGCGCUUUGGGAGCGGCCGAUGUCGGAUUAGCUAGUUGGUGGGGUAAAGGCCUACCAAGGCGACGAUCCGUAGCGGGUCUGAGAGGAUGAUCCGCACACUGGGACUGAGACACGGCCCAGACUCCUACGGGAGGCAGCAGUGGGGAAUUUUUGGACAAUGGGCGAAAGCCUGAUCCAGCCAUGCCGCGUGAGUGAAGAAGGCCUCGGUUGUAAAGACUCUUCGUGGGAGAAGUAGCAUAGGCGUAAUACCCUA